AAAGAUCAAAGAGAUAAUAUAUGUGGCAUAGUAUUCAUGUUGUGACCCAGACCGCCCUCAUCAUGGACACAGCAAGCUCCCAAUACAUCACAGCAAGCUCCCAAUACAUCACAGCAAGCUCCCAAUACAUCACAGCAAGCUCGCAAUACAUCACAGCAAGCUCCCAAUACAUCACAGCAAGCUCCCAAUACAUCACAGCAAGCUCCCCAUACAUCACAGCAAGCUCCCCAUACGGAGUAAAUCAGUGUUCUAAGUGUCCGGGGGACACAGCGUACCAUUGUGUAUCGUGUCCAUGUGAUCUGUGUCCCCAGUGUAAAGAGAACCAUGUAAAAGAUCUCCAAACAAUAGACCAUGAUGUUGUGUCACACCGUGAUAAAAUCAACUACAUCCCAGCACAAGAGAUCUGUGUGAGACAUCCUAGCCAUGUUUAUACAAAGUACUGUGAACCUUGUCAAGUUCCUGUCUGUUUCCACUGUAGAAAACAUAGAACUCACAGACAACUUGAUGUUGGAACAUCCUAUAAAACAAAGCGACAACAACACAGAGGAACCAUUCACACCAUCAGAAGUGAGGCUCUCUUUUACAGACCUGUUCUCCUGACAGGAAUCAAAGCUGAUGUCAAAACCUGUCACACAGAAUUCUCCCCCCUUCAAUCAGAGAUGUUAACAAAGGCCCAGAAACUGAAGGAUCUCAUUGACAAAGUGGUAAAUGAUCUAUUGAACAAUGUGUUAUGUUACUUUGAUUUCAAACACAGAUGUAAAAAACAAAAGAUAGAAAUGAUCAGACAUAUUGUCAGACUAAGGAGAUAUGAACACAGAUAUGUACAGCCAGCAUUCACAUUCAGUGCGCUACAAUUCCUCUCAUUCACAAAGACAGCCCUCCCCCAGAUACAUCUUACACUCCACACCAGCCAGCUCUCCAUGACUGAGUCACUCAACAAGGAGGAUGUGAUGGAGUCACUGGGUGCAAUCCAAAUCACAGAGAGAGGAAACCGACGCGUAGGAAACCAGUGUCUGCUGAAACUGACGUCUGGUGCUGAGUUCCAUCAAUCUCUCACAGUGACAGGUGUUGGUCGUUGUUAUCACAUUUCCUGUGUGACAUCAGACCGGGUCUGGGUCAGUCAUUGGAACAAUCUCAUGUUGACAGACACAACAGGUGUCCCUCUACAUCGUGUGGAGGAUUCAGAUAGUGAUAUAUCUGGAUUACACACAGUGAACAGUGAGAGUGAACUGAUUUAUAUAGAUAGGAAUUAUAACAUCAACAAACUGUCAAAGGAUAUGAAAACAACCACCACAUUUAUAGAGAGAACAGACUCUACAUGGGAACCAUGGUGUGUGUACUGGUCCCCGUCCACUGGGGAUCUACUGGUCGCGAUGUAUAACUAUAGGACAAUGACAGGCAAGGUAACCCGGUACAACCAGAGUGGACAACUCACACAAACCAUACAGUACAACAACACAGGACGGGGACUGUAUAGUGAUCCUCUCUAUAUAACAGAGAACAAAAAUGGGGAUGUCGUGGUGUCUGACUCUGAGUCUCGUGCUGUAGUGGUGACAGCGCGUGGGGGAAGACAUCGUUUCUCCUACACAGGACCUCCAUCAGGAUCACGACUAUGGCCACGUGGAAUCUGUACUGACGCGCUGUCACACAUCCUGGUGUGUGAUAGAUAUACCAAAACAGUACAGAUGAUAAAUAAGGACGGUCAGUUCCUGUCACAUCUACUGACAGAACCACAAGAGAUGGGUGAUCCAUGCAGCCUGAGUUAUGAUGUCAACACUCACCGUCUCUGGGUCGGAUCAGGAUCACGGGACAACAACAAGGUGUGUGUCUACAGGUAUAUCACCAGACAGGACGCUCUGACAGAUGAACACAGACACCGUCCUGAUGGAGACACCCGAUACACGACACCUCGUCACAACAACUCAUCAACUAAACAAAAAUGAGCACAGACCCCGUCCUGAUGAGGACGCCAUGUCCAGCUCAACACCAGUCGUAUAAUGGAGAUAGCUGGGAUAUUGACAGACAAGCUGCUUUUUAAACGCCUUCAGGGGGAUAUAAAAGAAAACCUGCCCGGAUUACCCAUAAUUCCAAUGGAGUUACAGAAGCCAAUUAAUUACCGAUCAUCAACGGACUUUGUGUUCUGUGCGUGAACUCUACAUAAACAACGUUUCAUGAAUGGACUCUGUAUCUGUGUAGGUGAACAAAAAUAAUGCGUCAUCAAUGGACACUGUUGCUGGUCUCUGCGUUCUGUGUACGUGAAAUUUGCACAAAAAUAACGCGUCAUCAAUAGACUUUGUAUCUGUAUAGGUGAAAUGCGUCAUCAAUAGACUCUGUGCUCUGUGUACCUUAUCUCUUUAUGAAUAAGGCAUCAUCAAUGGAAUCGGGGUUUUUUUUGUGUACGUAAACUCUACUGUAAUUUGUUAUCAUACGUUUUUUAUCAAUUUUAUCUAAGUGUAAAUUUUGUCAGUAUGUAAUAUGUUUUACAUAUCUAAGCUUUUGAAAUUUCUGGUAUCAUUCGGUGCUAGGACAGAGAUGUCCAUCAGAAUUGUAGCCAAUGUGUCACUAAUUUUUUUUUUUAAUUUUGAUUUUAUACAAGAAAUCUUGUAUGGUGUACUAAACAUUAUUUUCAAAGGGGAAUAACUCAAAAUUUGUAUUUUUCAGUCAGGAUAAAAAAGAGUUAUUCCCCUUGAGAAUGAGAAAUGAAUUUGAUGGUGUUUAUCCCUGACAGUUUUAUUGGUAGGAUUGAAUAUCAGUUAAUGUAUUUUUACAAUAUAUCGUGAUCAUUUGGAAAGAAGUGAACUGAUAAGCUUUUGAUAAGAAUUUCAUAAGUUUUAGAUGGUUUUUUAUACAAUGUUAUGUAGUUUUAAUUUCAAUGUAUUAAUAGUUGAUGUUAGUUUAAUUCAUUAAGUUUGAGCUGUGCAUGUGUAACAAUUGGUGCAUCAUAUAUUGCUUGUUGUCCUAAAAAGGUAGGUCACAAUGACCCAAUUAGAAUUAUGGUAGUUUAUGGUGAAACUAUUUUAGAACAUGUCUAUUUAAAAAAACAAACAAACUUGUGUUUUAGAAAUGAUGUACCAUUAAUCAUACCAGGAGUCAUUUACUCAUGUAUAUAUCAAUGUGAAAGUAAGUCAUGAUGACCUGAAUUUGUAAUUAGCAUGUUGUUAAUCCUAUGUGUUGUUAAUGGUGUUUAAGCACAUUUCUCACACUCUGUAUCUCUGUUGACCAGAUAGGUAGGACAACUCAUGUUAAUGUCAUUUUCUUUGGAGAAAUAUUGUACGUAAGUUUAAGCGUGAUUAUUUUUUUUUGUGUUUACCCAUACAAUGAACGUGAUGAAAUACAUUUAUAACGUAUAUAUAGUAUUAUUUUUAUUUUUUUGUGUUUACUCUUACCAUGAAAAACAUAAUACUUGUAUACAAAUGAUGUUUGGGGAAAUGUAGCGAGCUGUAGAUAAAAGUCAAUAAACUUAAAGUGACAUGUC
rnacentral:sRNA from 1 species